CAUGCAAGUCGAACGGCAAGGCAGGUGCUGCACCUGCCCUAGAGUGGCGGACUGGUGAGUAACACGUGGGUGACAUGCCUUUAGUUGGGGAUAGCUACUAGAAAUAGUAGAUAAUACCGAAUGUGAUCAAUAUUUAUAGAUGAUGUUGAGGAAAGGAGCUAAGCUUCGCUAAAAGAUUGGCCCGCGGCCCAUUAGCUAGUUGGUAGGGUAAAGGCUUACCAAGGCGAUGAUGGGUAUCCGGCCUGAGAGGGUGAUCGGACACAUUGGGACUGAGAUACGGCCCAGACUCCUACGGGAGGCAGCAGCUAAGAAUAUUCCACAAUGGACGAAAGUCUGAUGGAGCGACGCCGCGUGGAUGAUGAAGGCCCGAAAGGUUGUAAAAUCCUUUUACACUGGAGGAAUAAGCAGAGUAGGGAAUGACUCUGUGAUGACUGUACAGUUUGAAUAAGCAACGGCUAAUUACGUGCCAGCCGCUGC
rnacentral:rRNA from 1 species